GAUAGGAGCAUAUUUAUGCGACUUAGUAUGUUCUAUGGGCCAAGGAUGCAAGAAGAUGCAUUUUGGAGCACUUUGGAGCAUUUUUGGGCCAAGAUUGGAUGGUGCAAACAUGGAGACAUGAGGAUGGACGAAUUUGAUGAUUCAAUGGGCUAGAAAUCUACAUGUGUGUGUGCAAAGUGUUGGCCUACAACUUCAAACAUCAUAGCUGCCAUGUGAUGGCAGAAAAUGUGUUUAUUGCUAGCUAAAUGGAUGAAGAACAUGCAUGUGCAAGUAUAAACACCACAUGGGCAGCAAGAAGGAAAGAAAACAGCAACACACACACCACAUGGGCAGCAAGGAAUCAGAAAUUAAAGCAUGGAAGAGUGGGAAGUGAUGAUGACAACACAAACACACACACACGGCAAUGGAAUGGAGUUGGCAGAUUUCUACAACUUUGAUCAGCUGACUUUGGGAGCAAAUUGCGAACAGUUCAGAAUGAAUUAGAGAAUGAGCCUUAUAUGCUUGGAAAGCUACAGAUGUCUAUUUUCUAGAACAUUUCGCGGAUUGUUAAUAUCAUUUUUCUAGAAGAAGUUAUAGGCAUUUGAGUAAGGGAAGGUCUAGCUGACGACAACUUGCAGAUUGGAAUUGAAAGCAAACAAAAGAAAAGAAAUAAAACAAGGGGAGUGAAUGGACAGCAGAAAAGCAAGGAAAUUGGACCACUAUG
rnacentral:sRNA from 1 species